AAAAUGUGGAAUGGGAAUAUGUUAAGUCGCAUGUCAAACUUUUUCUGCUACUGUAUGCUUGCAUAAAUAUGUGUUUUUAAAAGGGUGUGUGUGUGUGUGUGUGUGUGUAGGGGGAUGAUGCCAGGGGCGUAAUUACUAUUAGGCAAGGGGAGACAGCUGCCUAGGGGCCCCCACGCCUCGAUGGGCCCCCCCCAGAGGCAAGUCACAUUACUAUGUAUUGUGAAGUGUGUGUGUGUGUGUGUGUGUGUGUGUGUGUGUGUGUGUGUGUCAGCGAGGGGGCCAUUUUAAAAUUUUGUCUCUGGGCCCACUCCUGCCUUGUUACCUGUACGCCCCUGGAUGAUGCUUAACUUGCAGCGGGGGGGGGGGGAGGGUCCAGCGUUGUGGGGGGGUGGGCCUCCAAAGGCCUUUAGGUUCAAACUCCAAAAUUACCUAAGUGCACCUCUGGCAGGCACCCCCCCCCCAAUGACAGCCUCUGUGGCCAUGCCCACUCCAACAGCCGAAAAGUACCAGUGCUCAGUCCCCAAAUGUCCAGGGCCAGAUUAACCUAGUAGCAAAAGUAGCAUAUGCUACAGGCCGCACAUUUUCAAGGGCCUCACACUAAAUGUGCUUCCCCGCCCUCCCUCAUUUGCCCAGCUGCCUGGAGUGCGGUGGUGGUGCCUCUCAGCCCUUCUUUCGCCGCCACCUGAGGGAAGGAGAACAAGGAAGGUGAGCUAGUCACCGAGGAGCAUCUGAGGCGAGUGAUAGCGAAUAUAGAGCGAGGUAAGGCGGCUGCAUGCUUCCCUUCCCACCCCCAGGAUCCCUGUGAAGAGUUACUUCAUCUCUUCCUCCCGCUCCAGCUGCUGUCUGUGGUAAGGGGAAGAAGAGACAGGCGGCGACCUACAGGUUGCACAAAAGUCCUUUCUCCUGUGCAAGCAAAGUCAAUGACUGCAUAACCUUGGCACAACCUCCUCCAUCCUCUCUGCCUGGUCUACCAUUCAUUGUCUCCUUCCUAUGAAAUUUCUGUGGAAUAACUGUGCUGACUUUCAACCAGCUACAGAGAAGGUUGAAAAGGGGGAUGCAACCACUCCCUUUCCCCUCUUUGUGUGCGUGUUUUUUGUAUGUGCGCCUGUAUCAUUAAAGAGGUCAUCAAAUCUGAUCAAAUCAUAUCUGGAAAAUCUGGAAGAAAGUCUUGGUGAAGAAUUUGUGCAGUUUACUGAACUGUUGAAAACUGAUCUUGUUUCUCAUAUUGGCGUCAAACAAGACCUUGUAGAGUUACAGUUGUACUGUUUGAUAACUCAGAAUUCCUUGGAGUCUUGUUUUCCAAAUGUAGAAAAUGCCUUAUGCAUCUAUUUGUCACUCAUGGUUACCAACUGCAGUGGAGAAUGCUCUUUUUCAAAACUGAAAAGGAUUAAAAAUGAACUAAGGAGCACCAUGGGUCAAAACAGAUUGAACAAUCUCACUCUGAGCAUUGAACAUGAACUUCUGCGUGAAAUAGACAUUUCCAGGAUCAUCAACAAAUUUGCUCCUAAAUCUAGAAAAUGUAACUUUUAAAUUGUCAUUUUUUUUACUUUUGACAUUUGAAAUUGAUAUCUGCAUGUAAUAGUAUUACUGAAGUGUCAAACAUUUAUCGUAUUAUCUGGAUGUGUAGCAAAUAAAAAAAAUUGAAUUAC